UAAGGAAUGCAAGAGAAGGACAUUGUCAUAAACAAGGUCAAAUGGCAGUUAUCCUACGUGAGCGUAGCGACUGCUAGGAGUGAAUGAGUGUGCGAGUCGAAGUGUGAACGAAGCCCCGUGAAGCAGUGACGUAUGUAUGUGAGGAUGUAUGCAUUCGAAUGAAAUAAAAUGUCGAACGAGUAAAUGAAUGUUGAAUGUGGUGUGUGUUUUGUUAUUCUUACAUUAUAUAUUUUUUUCUAUGUAAUCAUUGUAAUUAUUUCUUAAUAAGUAAGUGACCUAAUGCGUGAACAAUAUUCAUUCCAUAACCAAAGAAAAUGAAAAAAACACAUAAAUAGAAAAUCAAGAAAAUGUGACCAACGAAAAUAAAUUGAACUAGAGUAAUGUGCAAAUAAAAUAUAACAAAAGAAAAUCACAUGAACCAACAGAUGAAAAUAAAACAAUGAAUGUCCCGGGGAAUCCCCUAGCGUGACGUCCCAUUCACUCUCAGACAGCUGCCCAGACGAGACACACCCACCCGAGGGGGCAAUCAACCAUACCUCUUACAAAUCCUCGGAUUUCCGGUGUGUAUUGUAAUAUUGCUGAGCCACGUCACAAAGUAUGCCCUUCUGCCUGCGUGAGGCGUGAGGCGUGAGGCGUGAGGAGAAGAGGCCACAAGUCUGAAGAUAGAGAAGAGGAGAGAAAGUGAAGAAAAGUGAGAAGUGGAAAAGAAAAAGUGAAACGUAUCACACCCGGACUUUAUGUAAGAUCUUGUAAGGAAACAGUGAACUUUAAGGUUACAUUGGUCACAUAAUAAUACAUAAUAAGUGCACAAAAAUAGGGGAAAUAGGAUAUUUUAUUGCUUCAUCAUAUGAAUUAUUUUGAGGGUUUACAUUUUUUUUUAUAAUUUUGUAUUGUGUGUAUUGUGCGUGUAGUGUGAAAUAGAGUAAUAAAUCUGGAUAUUAAAA